AAACUAAAGAACCAUUGUAUGCCACUGAAAUUUACACCUUCUGAUGAGGGCUGUCAGUAUGUAAAGAGAUACAGCAGCAAUUGCUACCUUGGAAAGAUAACUCCAGACUAGAAUAAACCAAUGUACUUUCAGUAGAGUAGAGCUGAUCUAACUGCAGCAGAGUGUGAUGUGAGAUUGCACUGUUAAAUAUUUAUAGAAAUUGUUACUUGUCAGUGAAUUUAUAAAAGUGUGUAUAUUUUUAAAUGUUAGAAAAACACAGGGCAUUUAAAAGAGAGGGAAGUAUUUACAAGUCUUGGGCCUCUUUCUGUAUUCAGACCUGACUGCAGUACAAGCGGGGGCAAUGCCCUCCUUCUAUGAAUAUACCCAAAUUGGCUAGGGAACCACACAUGCCCUGGAUUGGCAGGACACUCCAGUUCAGUAGCUAAGUUCUGACUGGUUGCUUGGAAAGGGAAGUUGAGAGCCUGAUUUCAGGAUCCUUUCACUGACUGGUGAUAUUUAAGCUUUUUUCUGUGUGCUCCAUUAUAUAAUGGGUUCUGUUAUAUCUAAUAAGAAAUGUACUUAUUUCUUUGUUUGCUUUAUGAAGAAAUGGAGUGAGAAAGCUGCUGAAAGUGCAGAAAAAUGGGCUGCAGAAUGCCUAGCAAGAUCCAGCCUCCUGAAGGACAGAUAUGUGGAUGGUAUCCUUUGUGGUGAGAGUAUAUCACAAGCAAAUUUUGUUAGAAGCUGGAAAGAGGUAAUAGAAUUCUGGAAAUCUUCACAGCCACGUUUCGUGUAUGGCAAAAAUACAUCGGAAGAGGUACGGAGUGCAGCUUUGGGAUAUACUCAGGUAUGAACACAAAUUAUUUACCUACUUAUUUAAAGUAUUAUUUCUAGAUGCACAUUCUUAUGUUCCGGGGUAAAAUCAAAUUCAAAACCUUACACAGAUUAAGAGCACAGGCGAAAGACUAACCAGUUUUCACCAUCAAUAAAGCAAUUUUCUGAAAACGAACAAAAAUGUUGAAAGCAUGUUCAUAACAGGAAAAGGUUAGAUGUGUAAUUUGAUAUUUUGGGAUCCGAACUGUGGAAAUAAUAUACAAAAUAUUAUCUCUUUUGAUGUUGUGUAAAGUAACUCUCAUACUAUUCUUCCUGAAUUAAGAUUUAUGAUACCUAUGGCUUGAGCUUUAGACCUGGUUUGAGAAGAUGAACUUCUAAGCAUAAAUCAAUCAGAAUUGCAGCCUUUACAACAGUAUUUUAAUUAUGUGGAAUUAGGUUCUAAUUUCUAGAAUGCCAAAUAUUAAAUCAUGUACAGUAGAGUCUCACUUAUCCAACACUCGCUUAUCCAACGUUCUGGAUUAUCCAACACAUUUUAGUAGUUGAUGUUUUCAAUAUAUCAUGAUAUUUUGGUGCUAAAUUCAUAAAUACAGUAAUUACUACAUAGCAUUACUGUGUAUUGAACUUCUUUUUCUGCCAAAUUUGUUGUCUAACAUGACGUUUUGGUGCUUCAUUUGUAAAAUCAUAACCUAAUUUGAUGUUUAAUAUGCUUUUCCUUAAUGCCUCCUUAUUAUCCAACAUAUUUGCUUAUGCAACAUUCUGCCGGCCCGUUUAUGUUGGAUAAGUGAGACUCUACUGUACUUGUAAUAUUUUGCAGACCAAGAGUUUUGGCACAUUAGUAUGUUUUUGAAUGAUGUUGUUCCGGUGCUAAUUGGACACUCCCAUUGUGUAUUCCAGUUAUACUUUGGGUAUCAGAAUCAUCUUCUACACUGCCAUAUAAUCCAGAUUAUCUGCUUUGAAGUGGAUUAUAUGAGUCUAUACUGCCAUAUAAUCCAGUUUAAAGCAGAUAAUCUGGAUUUUAUAUAGCAAUGUAGAAGGGGCCUGACAGUCCUGAUACAGUUUGUUCCCCUGAAGCUCAAAUGAAUUUUAGUAUUUUAUAGGAAGGCGUUUCCCUAAAGUGAACAAACAAACAAUAACAAACACAAAUCUUUAUCUGUACUCAUACCUUCCCAAAUCUUUUAAUGGACAGAUAAGAAAAAUUCUCAAAGUAAAAGAGUGCAAUGAAUGAACACAUUUGAUGGAAUGUUGUUUCUCUUUUACAUUUGUUGUUGUGUGCCUUCAUGUCAUUUCCAACUAUGGGUGGUCCCAAGGCAGGCAUCAUCAAACUAAGGCCUGCAUGGCAGAUGUGGCCCUCCAAGGUUAUUUACCUAGCCCCACCCAACUUUAGAUUUAGGCCCUUUCUACACUGCCAUAUAAUCCAGAUUAUCGAAUCUGAUAAUCCAUUUUAUCUGCAUUGAACUGGAAUAUAUGAGACCCUUUCUACACUAUAUAAAAUCCAGAUUAUCUGCUUUGAAUGGGAUUAUAUGAUAGUGUAGACUCAUAUAAUCCAGUUCAAAUCAGAUAAUUUAAUCCAAAGAUUUCUGUUU
rnacentral:lncRNA from 1 species